rnacentral:SRP_RNA from 1 species
UCGUGCUGGAUGGGGNGGUAGCGGUGCCCUGUAACCUGCAAUCCGCUAUAGCAGGAUUAAAGACAUGGUGCGGCAAUUUUCCCGCUUUUAGAAUAAAAUAAGUGAUGUUGAAAUUUCAAUUCGUCGCGAUGGUUUACCUGUAAAUCCCGUCAGGCCCGGAAGGGAGCAGCGGUAUGCAGUCUAAAUUAGGUGCUGGCGGACACUGGAAUGGAGUUAACUGUUUUAUCAUAAUUGCGUAAGGAAUUGUCCAGCCCUGGUGCACGG